GUUGGUCAUGUUCAUCUCAACACCUUUUCAACUUUACAUUACAGGCCAAAGAAAUUCAUCAGUUAGUCAUUCAUCUUUGCACUACAGGCCAAAGAUAUUUAGUAAUAUCAUCAUUUAGGACUGAGGAUGAUGAAAAAUAUUUUAAAGAAAACGAAUCCAGUGAGACAGAAGGACAAAUAGUAGGGAUUCAUAUAACAGUUUAUCCAAGAUCAAUAAUACUCCAUAAUAACCAAUUUUGAAGCAAAAUUCAAGAAUAAAGAUCAAAACAUGUAUACAAUCAAAGAUAGUAACCAUAAUAGACAUCUUGGAC
rnacentral:lncRNA from 1 species